rnacentral:rRNA from 1 species
GCGAAUGGAUUAAGAGCUUGCUCUUAUGAAGUUAGCGGCGGACGGGUGAGUAACACGUGGGUAACCUGCCCAUAAGACUGGGAUAACUCCGGGAAACCGGGGCUAAUACCGGAUAACAUUUUGAACCACAUGGUUCGAAAUUGAAAGGCGGCUUCGGCUGUCACUUAUGGAUGGACCCGCGUCGCAUUAGCUAGUUGGUGAGGUAACGGCUCACCAAGGCAACGAUGCGUAGCCGACCUGAGAGGGUGAUCGGCC